ACUAAAGCAUUCACUAGUCCUAGUAUAGGCGAUAGAAAAGACACCAUUGGAGCGAUAGAGACCACGUACCGUAAGGGAAAGAUGAAAUAACAAUGAAAACUAAGCUAUAAACAGCAAAGAUCAACCCUUGUACCUUUUGCAUCAUGGUCUAGCAAGAAAAACCAAGCAAAAUGAAUUUAAGUUUGCCAUCCCGAAACCCAAGCGAGCUACCUACGAGCAGCUGUCAGAGCGAACCCGUCUCUGUGGCAAAAGAGUGGGAUGACUUGUCGGUAGAGGUGAAAAGCCAAUCGAGCUGGGUGAUAGCUGGUUGCCUGUGAAACGAAUCUAAGUUCACUCUUAAUUCUUCUCCAAGGAAACUCAAGAACCCUAAUGAAGCGAAUUAAGGGCUAUUUAAAGGAGGUACAGCUCCUUUAAAAAAGAAUACAAUCUCUACGAGCGGAUAAAUAAUAACAUACGAACUUACUGUGGGCCCUUAAGCAGCCAUCAACAAAGAGUGCGUUAAAGCUCCGUACCCAAAAAAUAUAAGAAUUUUAUGACUCCCUCCCCACUAACAGGCUAACCUAUAUACAAAUAGGAGAAUUAAUGCUAGAAUGAGUAACCAGGGUCCUCCCUCUACGACGCAAGCUUACAUCUAUACAUUAUUAACAAACCACCAAUAUACGAUAAAUCAAACAAGCAGAGUAUUAGGUAUCUUGUUAACCCGACAGAGGAGCGUCCAUUAAGAAAGAUUAAAACCUGUAAAAGGAACUAGGCAAACCCGUCAAGGCCCGACUGUUUACCAAAAACAUAGCCUUCAGCAAACCAACAGACAAGUAUUGAAGGUGAUGCCUGCCCGGUGACUCACGUUUAACGGCCGCGGUAUCCUAACCGUGCAAAGGUAGCGCAAUCAAUUGUCCCAUAAAUCGAGACUUGUAUGAAUGGCUAAACGAGGUCUUAACUGUCUCUUACAGGCAAUCGGUGAAAUUGAUCUCCCUGUACAAAAGCAGGGAUAAACCCAUAAGACGAGAAGACCCUGUGGAACUUCAAAACCAACGACCACCUUAUAUCACAUAUACACCCACUGGGCUCACUGACACAUAAGAGAUUGGUACGUGUUUUUCGGUUGGGGCGACCUUGGAGUAAAACAAAGCCUCCAAAAAUUAGACCAUAAAUCUAGACUAAGAGCAACCCCUCAACGUGCUAACAGCACCCAGACCCAAUAUAAUUGAUCAAUGGACCAAGCUACCCCAGGGAUAACAGCGCAAUCUCCUCCGAGAGUCCGUAUCGACGGGGAGGUUUACGACCUCGAUGUUGGAUCAGGACAUCCUAGUGGUGCAGCCGCUACUAAGGGUUCGUUUGUUCAACGAUUAACAGUCCUACGUGAUCUGAGUUCAGACCGGAGUAAUCCAGGUCGGUUUCCAUCUAUGAUGAACUCUUCCCAGUACGAAAGGAUAGGAAAAGUGAGGCCAAUACUACAAGCAAGCCUUCGCCUUAAGUAAUGAAGUCAACUAAAUUACGAAAAGCUAUCACACCCCCCCACAUCCAAGAAAAGGACCAGCUAGCGUGGCAGAGUUCGGAAAAUGCAAAAGGCUUAAGUCC
rnacentral:rRNA from 1 species